CCCAAUGUGACACACCGAGAACACUGAAUUGUUACUGGGAUGUUUCUGCCACAAGUACUUCACUUGAAUCAAUUGAGAGAAAACACCUGACAAAACCCACUUGGAGGGAUGUGCUAUCAAGUCGGAUACUUAAUAAAAGCCAGCCUUGUGAAGUACUAAGGAAGCUUGAGGACUUCAGUAAUAAAAGGAAGUAACAGAAGCUGACAACUGAAUGGCAGAUGAUGCUGAGUUUCAAGCAUAUGGCCAUUUCAUGUCCUACCAAUCACCUACCCAAAGUUUCCAAAAAAGACCAAUCAUUAUGAGAAGCUAAAAUAAGAUAUUUUGAAAAAUUUUCAACACCGAAGUAGACCUGGUCAGCCAGUAGACCUUAGAGGGAUUUUCUCAACCUGGGAG